rnacentral:lncRNA from 1 species
UGGGAAAGGAGAGGAAAUGCAACCACUUGUACAGAUAAACGACAGAAUUACCAUACAAGCAUUUAUAGUCAACACAAUCAGAAAGAGUUCCCAUCGUUGGACGGGGAAUAUGAAGGCUUCCAAGAAUGAACAAGUGACAUGUCUAACUCUGAACAGUUAGAAAACGGACUAUCGACAUCGACCGCUUGUUCUUGAUAUUUGAAACUGCAUGCA